rnacentral:rRNA from 1 species
AACGCUAGCUACAGGCUUAACACAUGCAAGUCGAGGGGCAGCAUUAGGUAGCAAUACUGAGAUGGCGACCGGCGCACGGGUGCGUAACGCGUAUCCAACUUUCCCGUUACUCUGGGAUAGCCUUCCGAAAGGGAGAUUAAUACCGGAUGGUGUUGAAAUUUCGCAUGUCAUUUCAACUAAAGGUUUAUCGGUAACGGAUAGGGAUGCGUGACAUUAGGUAGAUGGCGGGGUAACGGCCCACCAUGCCCACGAUGUCUAGGGGUUCUGAGAGGAAGGUCCCCCACACUGGAACUGAGACACGGUCCAGACUCCUACGGGAGGCAGCAGUGAGGAAUAUUGGUCAAUGGUCGGAAGACUGAACCAGCCAAGUAGCGUGAAGGAUGAAGGUUCUAUGGAUUGUAAACUUCUUUUGUCGUGGAACAAAACCUGCCACGUGUGGCAGUUUGCGUGUACACGUUGAAUAAGCAUCGGCUAACUCCGUGCCAGCAGCCGCGGUAAUACGGAGGAUGCGAGCGUUAUCCGGAUUUAUUGGGUUUAAAGGGAGCGUAGGUGGUUUAUUAAGCAAGCUGUGAAAUACUGCCGCUCAACGGCAGCCGUGCAGUUUGAACUGGUAGACUUGAGUGUACAAGAGGAAAGUGGAAUUCGUGGUGUAGCGGUGAAAUGUUUAGAUAUCACGAAGAACUCCAAUUGCGUAGGCAGCUUUCUAGGGUACAACUGACACUGAGGCUCGAAAGUGUGGGUAUCAAACAGGAUUAGAUACCCUGGUAGUCCACACGGUAAACGAUGAAUACUCGCUGUUGGCGAUAUACGGUCAGCGGCCAAGCGAAAGCAUUAAGUAUUCCACCUGGGGAGUACGCCGGCAACGGUGAAACUCAAAGAAAUUGACGGGGGCCCGCACAAGCGGAGGAACAUGUGGUUUAAUUCGAUGAUACGCGAGGAACCUUACCCGGGCUUAAAUUGCACUGGACAGGCUCAGAGAUGGGCUCUUCUUCGGACCAGUGUGAAGGUGCUGCAUGGUUGUCGUCAGCUCGUGCCGUGAGGUGUCGGCUUAAGUGC